CAAAUGACAAUGCCAAAUAGACUCCCUCCUGUUCUUAAGAACCUAUUAAAUUUGAGGUAUACCUGGACCUCACUCAUUCCUCUCCCUUCCCAUCCUCCUGAAUCUUAUGUUUGGCCUAAAGAAAGAAUCAUGGUAAAACAUCCAAAACCCUCAAGACUGGCCGAGGGAACACAGGAAGAUUGCUGAAUUCCUGGUGAUAUUAUGGUUCCUGAGUCUUCUGCCGUGCUUCUUUGCUCCAAUUAGUAUCAUCCCAAUAUAUGUGUAUUCACUUGCGCUUUAUGGGUUUAUGCACUUCUUUCUUAUCAACCCCCCAAAAAACUUUCUACUAUAAAUCCAGAUUUUGGUUGUUUAAACUUCUGAACCAGAAUUUUGCAACAGAAAUACAUACAGAGUGCAAGCCACUGUUCAGUGCAUUCCUGCUUGGCUUCGCUUCAUCCAGUGCCUGUGCUGGUACCGUGACACAAGAAGAGCCUUUCCUCUUCCAGUAAAUGCUGCCUGGCAAAUACUCUACAACUUUCUUCACCCUGACAUUUCCAGCCCUUUACAACACUCACAAAGGACCAUUUUCUUCUUGACAAAAAGAAUAAGGCUAUGAGAUCUCAGCAAAACAACUGUGCCCUGCCCAUCACUUGGCUUUGGAAUAAAAAAAAAUAAUGAUAUAAACUCUUUGACUUCCAGGAAUGAUAUGAACAGGUAAGUCCAGAUGCUUCUGAAA